AGAAAUUAUAUACACCAUUCAACACAUAAUUUAGAUAUGGUUUUUAUUUAUUUAUUCAUUCAUUCAUUUUUAUAUUUUUUUAUUAAAGCAAAAUCUGCAGAAAGAGCCACACCUGAAUACCAUAAUGAUUUCUCCAGCACUAAAGGCCCAACAGGUGAGUGACUUCAGCUGAUGGGUUUCACUUCUUUAACCUUUUGUGCCUGUGAACGGUAAAUCUGUUUCUGUUUAUAGACCUUAGUCAAGGUAGAUAGCACAUUGUAUGCAGAUGAAAAUGAGGAUGUGAGGGACAGGCUUACAGUAUUAACAGUGGCAUGCACUUUACAAAGGUUCUAGAUCACAUCAUUUUCAAAAAGUUUUUGAUUACUGAAAGUUUUUUGGAAAUAUGUUUUGUCAGUUACAAUAGUACAACCCCAUUGAACACCCUGUACUUCUAUCCCAUCUUUCUCUUCUGCCCUGACUAAUGUCUGUUCUCUCUUUGUUUUUAACUCAUUUAGAAAAGCAACAAAUCACAUCAGAGAACUAUGAUGAUGUAAUCACUGUUGGACUGAGACAUGCUACAGGUUUAGUUCUUAUAAUUAUUUCUACACGUUAUAACACAAUGUAUGUAUAAUAUAUAUAUAUUAAUUUUAAUUAUAUAUAUGCAUAGUUUCAAUAUCCCCAAAUUUUGUUCAUUUGAUGGAUGCAUUUUAAUUUUUCAUUAUUUUGUUGUAGAUGACUUACCAGAAAACUAUGAUGAUGUCGUCAUCAUACAACAGUUCUCCAAUGAUAAAGCAGAGGCUGUUCAGGAGGAGUAUGAUGAUGUGAAGAAUGUCAGAGAAUAUAUGAGCGACAUGUUUGGUACGUUAUUAACAACUUCAUUUAGUCUUUAUAAUCACUUUAUAUGAUUAAUUUCUGUAGUUAUAAAAGCUCAUUUAAAUUUACUGCUAGUUUUAGUGUUGUAGAGUUUUCAUUAUGCUUUUUAAUGUAUGUAUUGAUACAUGAAUCAUUCUCUUGUUUUCCAAUAACAGACUAUGAUGAUGUGGAGGAGGAUCCAGGAAAACAGGCAGAAGCUGUAUAACUCAAACCUCACCCACUGCCUCAGAAACUUUUAAAGCUUUUAAAGUUUUAGCAAUCUUACUAUAUACAUGUUUCAGUUGCAAUCUAACAGUGUUUUGUUACAUUCUGUAUUAAAAUAUACAAUUGCAGUUUUUGACAGAAAAAAAUGCUUUGCUUUCAUGACCUUUUCAAAAGGUGCUUGAAUUUUUCCAGACGCUUUUAGAAAUAUUUUCUAUUGUUUAGCCUUAGAAAUUUGAGAGAACAAAAACCUGUCAUUUUCUGACAUCAGUUACUUUGUAUAAACAUAAUUGUGUUGAGUUCAGAUUGUUCACCAUUCAGCUACCACCCAUCAUUAAUGGAUUACUUACAGUAUCUUCAACUUAAUAAUAUCAUAAUAUUAAAUAUCAAAAUAUCAUUCACUGAUGGUUCACUGUUAAUAUUUUGCUAAAGGACAUUAGAAUGUUACGGUGGCCGAGAGCUCAACGCGCUGCAACUUCAGAAAACACAUGCAAAUAUAAAAAGCACCAGCAAAUAAAGAAAACAUCUUCAUCAGUCUGAGAGCAUGUGCUGCAAAUACUCCCAACACAACCAAAUACAAAACACACUGCAAAUCCUCCCAACACAAACAAUUAAAGAAACACACAAGUAGCACAGACCACAACAAAAUUACCCCAACAAAAACGAAAAUUAUUAUUAUUAUUUUUUUGAUUACCAUUUGUUACCACAGUUGUACAAAUACCAUGGUUAAACUAUGGUAUGUAGUAAAUCCAUGGGUAAUUUAUGCAUGCUAACCAUGGUUUAACUAUUGUUGUUUUUAUUUACUUUUUAUAUAAUAAAUGUAUUAAUACAGUUUAAGGCUAUGGUUAAUUUUUAUAGGGGAAGUUGUAAAAGUGAGCCACAUAAUGUUAAAAUAAAUCUCACCUUUCAGAGCAAACAUUGAUCAGCAUGUCCCAGCCGUGUUCGUC
rnacentral:lncRNA from 1 species